UGCCAGCGCCGCGGUAAUACGAAAGGGGCUAGCGUUGUUCGGAAUUACUGGGCGUAAAGCGCACGUAGGCGGCUUGGUAAGUUGGGGGUGAAAUCCCGGGGCUCAACCCCGGAACUGCCUCCAAAACUACUAGGCUAGAGGAUGUGAGAGGAUAGUGGAAUUCCGAGUGUAGAGGUGAAAUUCGUAGAUAUUCGGAGGAACACCAGUGGCGAAGGCGGCUCACUGGCUCGAUACUGACGCUGAGGUGCGAAAGCGUGGGGAGCAAACAGGAUUAGAUA
rnacentral:rRNA from 1 species